rnacentral:rRNA from 1 species
GUAGGUGGGCAAGCGUUGUCCGGAAUUAUUGGGCGUAAAGCGCGCGCAGGGCGGUCCUUUAAGUCUGAUGUGAAAGCCCACGGCUCAACCGUGGAGGGUCAUUGGAAACUGGGGGACUUGAGUACAGAAGAGGAAAGCGGAAUUCCAAGUGUAGCGGUGAAAUGCGUAGAGAUUUGGAGGAACACCAGUGGCGAAGGCGGCUUUCUGGUCUGUAACUGACGCUGAGGCGCGAAAGCGUGGGGAGCAAACAGGAUUAGAUACCCUGGUAGUCCACGCCGUAAACGAUGAGUGCUAAGUGUUAGGGGGGUUUCCGCCCCUUAGUGCUGCAGCUAACGCAUUAAGCACCCCGCCUGGGGAGUACGGCCGCAAAGGCUG